AUGUCCGAUAGAGCAAACAAGAUGAAGUUAGAAGCUGAGAUGGCUGCGCCUUUGCAUUUGCAGAGAUUGGAACGCAGCUUGAAUGUACAGCCUUUCCUAAAGCAAAUCAAUGAUCUCUUUCAAGAACAAACUAGUGAAGAUGACAAGUCUGUCUCGUCGGAAUCUUCUGAUGGUUCAGAUGCUUAUCUCGAUAAUGUACCCACUCGAAAAGAAGAAGCAAGAAUCAAUAAGUUGAGGCUAUUCAACAUGUCUACUGUAGGAGAAGAAAGACGCUGGUUACAAGAUAUUCUCUUAAGUGACUCCUCUGAUAGUUCUGCAUCAGGCUCCGAUACCGAUAGUCAAAUCACAGAAGAAGAUUUUCAAGAGAUGCUAAAGUUUCAUAUAUUACGAAAAAAAUAUCAAGGUCGUUUUUAUCAGAAACCAGAAAAUAUACAAUAUCAAUAUUACAGUGCGGGUUUAUUGUCGAAUUAUGAUAGAUUUUUAGAGCAUCAAAAGUUGAUUGUAGGAAAUAAAAAGAAGAAAGAAAAAAAGCCAGAUAAAAAAAUUAUGAAAAUUAAGAAAGAAAAAGUUAAUCGUCAUUGCACAUCUGAGGAAUAUCAUAAAGGAGAAUUUCCAGGAGAAUGGGAUAAAUCAAUUCCUAGGGAAGAAGAGUUAGAUGAAUCUGAAUUAGAAGCUAUCAUGCGCCACCAACCUCGAGGUAGAGGCAGAAAAAAGCACAAUACCAAGAGUGUUGAAGUGAUGACGAUGAGAAGAAGAAAAAUAUGGGUGAUGAUGUCUAAAAAGGAACUAGGAAAAGUACAAAGGGCCAAAACCAAUAAUCAUAAGGAAAUGCUAAUAAGUUGUAAGAAAGUAGCACAACAUUGUAUAAAAUAUUGGAGACAAAAAGCCAUGCAAUCGCAGAAAAAUAUGAAAGAGACUAUUUGGCGGUCAAAACGUUUGACAAGAGAAAUGCAGUCUUAUUGGAAGCGUUACGAUCGAGUCGAACGAGAAACUAGAAGAAGAUUAGAAAAAGAAGCUGAAGAACAACGUAAAAUGGAUGUAGAACUUAUUGAAGCAAAACGUCAGCAAAGGAAAUUAAAUUUCCUUAUUACUCAAACAGAAUUGUAUGCUCAUUUCAUGUCACGAAAAAUAGAUAAAUCAUCAGCAGAGGAACAAUUGAGAAUCUUGAAUCAGUUAGAUGAAGAAAAGAAUCCCAGACUUAUUGGCAUCGACGAUUAUGAUAGUGAUAUCAUGAAACAUAAAGCAAAGAAAAAUGCUACUGAAGCAUUUAACAAUGAGAAGGCUAGGACCAAGCAAUUUGACACAGCUGCUGCAUCUCAAGAGUUACGUCUCAGUGAUACACCUGAAAAUUUAGAGCAUCCACAACCUUCAAUUUUUAAGGGAAAUCUGAAAGGUUAUCAAUUAAAAGGAAUGAAUUGGUUGGCAAAUUUGUACGAUCAGGGAAUUAGUGGAAUACUGGCUGAUGAGAUGGGUUUGGGAAAAACUGUACAAUCCAUAGCAUUUUUAUGUCACGUUGCUGAAAGAUAUUCUGUUUGGGGACCAUUCUUGAUUAUAUCACCAGCUUCGACAUUACAUAACUGGCAGCAGGAAAUGGCGAGAUUUGUACCAGUAUUCAAAGUAGUUCCAUACUGGGGUAAUCCUCAAGAACGCAAGAUACUCAGACAAUUUUGGGAUACUAAAGAUUUGCACACAAAAGAAGCUUCUUUCCAUGUAGUAAUAACAAGUUAUCAAUUAGUAAUUACGGAUUAUAAAUAUUUUAAUAGAAUAAAAUGGCAGUAUAUGAUCUUGGACGAAGCACAAGCUAUAAAGAGCACAAGCAGUAUGAGAUGGAAAUUGUUACUGGGGUUUAGUUGCCGUAAUAGAUUAUUACUCAGUGGUACUCCUAUACAAAAUAGUAUGGCAGAAUUAUGGGCGUUAUUACAUUUCAUUAUGCCUACAUUGUUUGAUUCGCAUGAUGAAUUUAAUGAGUGGUUUUCCAAAGAUAUUGAAAGUCACGCAGAGAAUAAAACGGGAAUAGACGAAAAACAUUUAUCGAGACUCCAUAUGAUCUUAAAACCUUUUAUGUUGCGAAGAAUAAAAAAAGAUGUAGAAAAUGAAUUAUCCGAUAAGAUUGAAGUAAUGGUAUAUUGUCCACUUACGACUCGUCAAAAAUUGCUUUACUCAGCAUUAAAGAAAAAAAUUCGAAUAGAGGAUUUGCUGCAUUAUACAGUGGGUGGAGGAGACACUGCGACUAACGAUAAAAACUUUACUUCCAAUCUAAUGAAUCUAGUCAUGCAGUUCCGAAAGGUCUGCAAUCAUCCAGAACUCUUCGAACGUAGAGACGCUAAAUCACCAUUUUUUAUGAAUACAGAAUUUUAUAAUAUGCCUGCUUUACUAUAUAAUGAAGGACUUUUGCAUCUAGCAUUGCCAUCCAAAGAUCAUCUGUUGUAUAAUAGGUUGUUUAUAUUUGCUGCAGAAUAUAUUCAUCGUUCUCUUCACUGCAACGAUUUGUAUGAAAAUACAUUUUCAUUUAGUAGAUUUAUUAAUCUAUCUCCGAUGGAAAUAAACAAAAUGUUCAUCGCUGGUACUUUAUUCAAAUUAUGUCUCAUAACGUUCAUGGAGAGAAGAUUAAGAAUGAUACAAUAUUGGGAAAAUUGGCACGUUGAUAACAGAUCGAGAACGCCUACAAACCAAAUGUUUUAUUUAACCAGAAAAUUUGAUGCUUUGUCGUCAACGUUACAAGAUUUAUUUUUUACUAGCAAGAUAAUCGAUGGCGAGGCUUUCUACACGCAUACCAAUCACACGAUACAUUCGAUGCCGGAAACUGUUACCCACAGAAUAUUACGUAGUAAAAAAGCUAAUCAGCAAUUAAAAUUACAAAGAAUAUUACCUUCUGGCAAAAUGGAUCAAAUGGAAGAUUCGAAGUUAGCUCUUCUUCCUGAACAUCCUCAUCAUCCGCGGCAAUCUAUAAUGCGAUAUUGUCAACAAACAUCGAUCCCUGCCUUUGUUUGCGAUAAUAAUCCUAAGGUUCAAGCUAGUCCGCGAAAAUUAUACGUUAGUAAUAGUUCUGCGGCAUGUGCUUGGAAGAGGCACGAGGAAUGUGGUGGUCCAUUUGGUCAAAGAUUACUUUGGCUCGGUUGCGAACGAGCACUUUCUGAAGAAAAAUCAGGCAUUCGUGCUGGCCAAACCAUGUCAACGUUUUGCUAUCAGCCUCAGGGUGGAUUAUCCGCAUGUGCUCCUAUUAAUGGAUGGUCACAUAUUAUUAUACCAGAUAAACAAACGUUAGUGACAGACGCUGGCAAGCUUUCUGUACUAGACAAUCUUUUACGGCGUCUGAAAGAACAAGGACACAGAGUGCUGAUCUAUUCUCAGAUGACAAAAAUGAUCGACUUGCUAGAGGAAUAUAUGUAUCAUAGAAAGCACACUUUUAUGAGGUUAGAUGGUUCAUCAAAAAUCUCAGACCGUCGAGACAUGGUGGCAGAUUUUCAAAAGAGGGCGGACAUAUUCGUCUUUCUGCUCAGUACUAGAGCUGGCGGCCUGGGAAUCAAUCUUACCGCGGCAGAUACGGUGAUAUUUUAUGAUAGUGAUUGGAACCCUACUGUAGACCAACAAGCUAUGGAUCGCGCCCACAGACUGGGGCAAACCAAGCAAGUCACGGUCUACCGAUUAAUAUGUAAAGGAACCAUCGAAGAACGAAUUUUGCAGAGAGCCCGCGAAAAGAGCGAGAUUCAACGUAUGGUCAUAAGCGGUGGAAAUUUCAAACCCGAUACUUUGAAACCCAAAGAAGUCGUAUCGCUGCUAUUGGACGAUGAGGAAAUCGAAGCGAAAUACAGCCAACGAAGCGAGGAGAGAAAGCAGCAGCGAGCGGAGGAGGCUCGCCUCGAGUCAAACCUACAGCACAAGGAGAGGGACCGGAAGAGGAAGUUAACCGCGCUUCCGGUCAAGAGCGAUGCGAAGAAACCGUGUCAUGCGGAUACUAUUAACGACAAAAACAACGAUUCCGUUUACGUUAAUCUUAAUGAACCUAAACCGGCCAGCAAUCCGGUUCAGUCACAACAUCAGAACAAUCAUCAACAACAGCUAGAAAAUAUAGAUAAUUAUAGCACCCCGACCAGUCCGGCAAAAUCAGAAGAUGAAACAAGUAACGAGGGACUCGUGGUCGAUGUGGACGGUCCGGUUUCCGGUAACGACCCUCACGGACAGCCUCGAGGCAGUCUCCAUCAGUUUGGAGAAUCUCCACCUAAGAUUGCCCGACUCGGACAUAAUUUCGCCUUCGGCGUAAGUGCAAACGCGCGAAUGCGACAAUCCGUACGCGGAGCGAGCAAACGCGGCCGACCGCGAGGUUCUCGUAGAGGUGGACCAAUUGGCGGUAAAGGAAGAGGAUUGCUUUUGAUGCACCCAUCGUCAAAGGUUUCAAACGUGGUCAACGAAUCGCCAUCGACAGCGAUGCCACCGAUAGAGGGAAGUGGAUGCUCAAACGAGGUGUUGCGGCAUUGGACGCCCGCCCCUUCCGAUCCUCCGGACGGAGACGGUCCCAGCACGGUGGGACCACUGGGUCCAGUGGGCACUUUGAUACCUCUGUCGGGACGCAGUGGUAUCGCGGGGAUUCGUCGUGGACCCGGUAGGCCUAGAUUACGACCGACUGGUCCGGGUCAUCAGGGUUAUCGCACCCCCGGUGGUCAUCAUCACGGCAAGAAGAUUCAACGGCCGCUGCCCGUACCUAUCAGGUCUCAUCAACCGGUCGCGGGUGUCGGUCAGCAGAAAGCAUCUUCGUCGUCAUCGUCGCAGAAGCGUUCCGGUAUCUCGAUUACCAACGCGUCGUCGUCGUCGUCGUCAUCGUCCUCGGUCGCUAUCGCAGCCGCGAAUUCGACGCCACUAUUAUCUUCAUCAUCAUCCUCGUCGUCGUCAUCCUCGAUGUCAUUGACGGAAUCGCGACCUUUCGGAUUUUACACGCAGCAACAGCCACGCGCAGGAUCAUCGUAGGAAGAAUAGUGAUUUUGGUGUUUUUGGUGAAACGCUCAGUGAACGUCUUGCGAUACCGAUGAUUGUAAUUCACGUCGUCGCACACGUCGCACACGAUUUUUCGUCACGUCAAUAGUAACAACAACAAUAACAAGCAACAAAGAGUUACAUUCUUACUUCAACGGAAGGUGGAUUAUUCGCGCCGACACAAUUGCCAACCCGCAUACUACGAUCGACAUCGUAGGUCACAGGCUCUCGUCAAGGUCGCUGCUAUGGAUAAAGACGGACCAUCGCUCAAUGGCAUCCAAAAAGUAAGUACACUAAGAGAGAAAACAAAAUGCAGAGGAGAGGACACGAUAGGGGUUGCAGAGUUGCGCUUGAAUGCGUAGAGCAAAAUUGAGUUAUCACGACGAUCGACUUCAUCAUUUCCUCUCUUCGUCAUAGUGACUAUAAAUGACAUUGAAUCAUGAAACAAACUCAACAUCGUCGUAUCGCAACACUCGUAUGAGUCAUACAUACAAUUCGAUUAUGAUUACAUAUAUGAAUUUACUUAAACACAAGAGAUAUAAAUAUUUACUAUAUAAUCGCACCAUUAAAUUCGAAAGUAAAAGUUCAGCUUUCGCAAUGCAUUUUGUCUUUCCUCACAGAAAACCAAAUUAUACGUACUUAUAUUUGUUUCUAGGAAUGAUUUAUGUUUCAUUCCAAGUAUUAGAGAACGAUAAUAGCACGUUUUUAGCACAUUCCAAGUAUUGAAAUGAUCAAUAUCGUUUUCAUGUUUCCCAUAAGGAUUAUUUUGAAUAAUUUUGAAAAGCAAUUUGUCAAUUAUUUCAACAUUCGAUCCUUUUAUACCGCAGUCGCACCCUGGCUGUGCUGCGUCGCUUCGCGUCGCGCACGCUGUCACGCGAGAGAGGAGCAGGAGCAGGAGCAGGACUCCGUCCGGAGAGGACCGAGACCUUGCAUUGCACCUGCUACUCUCAGGUGUACGCGAGCGCGUCUUUUAUCCGGGCGCGAUCUCGGGUGCAUCUCUCUUCCUCUCUUCCUCUCGUCCUCUCGUCCUCUCGUCCUCUCGUCCUUUUGUACGCCGCGAACGAAAGGCGUACACGCGAGGCGUGCCGCUGUUCCGAGUCCGCGAUUAAUCGCGCGCUCUCGACAAUCCCGGCCUAAUUAAUCCAGUUAUCUCGCUCGCGCGUACGAUCGGGAUCGUAGACGAGCGGGUAUAAAAAUACGAGCGAUCGUGAAAAACUUGGACGAAAUUAUUUUUAUCGAUACAUUUUGCCUACUUGCCGCCAAAAUGCGGCACUUCCCGAAAGAAAUGCGAAUAUUUGACGUCCGUAACGGUGAAUGGCGAUCAUAUCUGCGCGGUGUGUGUCAUUUUAAACUGCCCGGUACAUCUGUGCGGCUAAUUAACUCUCGAGCGGCAAUGAGAUCGAUAUGCGAUCGGGAGACAAAUCGUGACUUGAACUUGACAGUCGCAGGUGCGAGUCGCGAAACGAGUUUCUUCAAGGUCAUUGUCAACUGCUCCGCACAUCCGACUAAUAUUUUUCAGGGUGUUUAAAGUCGCUAAUUAAUACGUAACUAGACUUUUUUACGGUGCAAAUUCACUUUACUUGUUUCUCAUAUUUUACUUUUACAUUUAUUCGAUUUGUACUUAUAAUAAUAACGGGAAGGGAGAAAAAGGCUAGUUGGGCAAGAAAAUGAAUAACGAUAAAUAAUGCCCGUGGAAUUAAUUGAUCAAUGUUCGACCAAGUUCGAUACGAUACUACAUGAAAAUCAACAGGUAAAUCGCAAUUAGCAAUCGUCUCUUCGAUGUCAAGUUAGUCAAUUAGCGUCAAUUAUUUCGCUUGCACGAUUCUACCUCGUAAAUUUAUGAUGAUGGAUAGUCAUGUCCCUUCGAAACAUACCCCAGGGUCUAAUCUAUGAUAAUACGUAUCACGUAUCGAUUAGAUUGUCGAUUGUCGCAAAACUUUUUCAACUUGUCGCUAGUAAAACGAAACUGAUUUUUUUCUCUUUCAAAAAUUUCUAAUCACCGUCAAUCGUCGUCCCGUAAAUUCGACCCUCGAAAUUACGGCGUCCUUGGGAGCGCACGCCUCGUCUUUCGUCCGAGACGCUCGACGGUGGGAUAAUUUGACACACGCACAGUGUUAUAAUUAGAAAGAUAAUUACGUAAUUAUGAAUUAAUAUGGUGCGCCGUUCUCCCUGGUUCUCUCUUCCUUCGAUCGCAUCGGUAAGCAGUCGGCCGUGCGAGCGAGCGAACGUUCUCCGGCAUCGUCGUCGUCGUCUAUGCCAAUUAGGAGCGGCGCGCGGCGGCAGGUUGCCACGAAAUUAAAGCUUUUAUUUCGGCGUGCGAACGUACGGGAUUAGCGAAGCGAAACGCGAAACGCGAAGGCCCCGCGUAUAUACUCCCUUUCGGGGAGUACACACUUUGCAGCUCCGUGAAUGUGACCCAUGAUGAACACUCGAUGAACUUCUGCCUUAAGCGGAGCCUAUACUACAAAUAUUUCCCAUUUUUACAUAUACGUGAACGUGUUAAUUUUGCACUCUGCGAGUGUUUGAAACUCGCGAAGAAUUAGUAAUAAUUUCUGCACGCGAUAAUAGGAAUGACGAAUACUCCGUUUCGUUAACCAUCCGCAGCCCAAGGCACAGUCGGCGAUAAUUUUAACUUUGCGACUUGUAAACUUGUAGAAGAAAGAGAAACACCUGGCAUUUGCCGCUGGCGAAUUAGGAUUUUGCGAUUUUAGAUGUGUACAAGUUAAGCGUGCCUAUACGCACGAAACAGGUUGAGCGCGUUCGCACUUCCGAGAAAAAGCGUAGCUUAUUCUCGCGCCGCGAGACAAUUAACGACAUCGUUAAGCCAUGAACGCGCUCUUGCGAUCGCGCCAAGUAAAUAUGCGCGAGUUCUACGUGUAAAAAGCUGCGUGUGGGUCAAUUAACGGCAUCGUUAAGGCGUUGGGACUCUGCUCAUAAUCAUGAGAUACGCAUACAGAUUUCGUGAAAGAAAAAAAAGAAACAAAAAUGCUCUGGCAAUUCGAAUCUGAAAUUUUGAUUCUUUCAUUUAUGUCUCCUGCACGAUCAAUCUUAUAUCAGAGAGAUAUACCAAUCUUCGUACCUGAUUAUCGAUUUUUUAAAUAUUUCUAAAUCUUAUAAACUAUACAAAAAUUUAUGUGCGAUAGACAGUCGUCUACGUAAAUUUGUUUCAACGUUUCAUAGAUUUGUAUCAGAAUUUUAUAGAAUUUAAAACAAAAUUUAAAAUUGUUAUAUUUUCCUCAUGAAAUGCAUUAAAGUACUAUCACUUUGAUACAUUAUAUACUGCAGUAAAAUAAUUUGUGCAAUGUGUAUUCAAUACUUAUUAGUAUAAUAUUUAUAAAUUUUUACUUAGCACUUU